AGAAAAAAAAAAAAGAGUGACUACUGCCGACUCCACUAAUUUUCAAGUUUUCUAUCGAUAGACGAUCGUGCUCAAUAGCGAAUAGUGAAAAAAAUACGUUGCGGACUCAGGAAUAUAUUCUUGACAAAACCAUCAGCUUUCUCAGCGCAGGGAAAUUGGCAUAGGAAUAUUUGAACCGACGGAAGUGUUGUCAAUAUAUGGGAAGGCAAAUCAUCUAUGUCCAAGUCUAUGUCUCUUCCACACAAGAGGAGUUUCAGUAUGUGGCCACAAAUAGCGACAAGUAUGCCGAGAAUCCGUGAUAAGUUGGAACCUAGUGAGAAAAAGGAAAGGCUUCUACGACGAAACUGAGCAAUGUGGUUGAGGGGAGAAACUAUCUGGAAGUCGAGCUGGAAGUACCGCCGGAAAGAAGCAGGCGAAAUCAACAGAUGACGGUGGAACCGUGGAACUUCGAGGCAUUACAUCGGACCAAGCAUCGGACCGGAAUGUGCCAGCUAUUGCUUUGAAAGUUAUUGAACGUCAUAGGGUGGGGCACAGUUAGUGGCACUGGUAUCCAAUUAUAUGUUGAAUAAAUUAAGUGAUUUUUACCGU